UUAGAGUCAGACGAACGAAUUUUCUCUGGGCUGCUGCAGCUGGACAGGGUUUCCUACAAAAGGAGGGAGCAUCAGCCAGUGGAAAUAAUAAUAAUAAAAUAUUGCUAGCAGAGUACCGGGAUUAAAGUGCAUUUAGAAGAGCUAAAUACAAAGGAACUUUGUGACAGCGUUUGGCACAGACUUGGUUGUCUAAACAACUGAUGGGUUCCCAGAGUGACAGAGGGACAUUCUAGAGGACAGAGGAGAUCUCCAAGGACAGCCGAUGUCGCAAGAGAGGAGAAUAGUGACAGUGGUUCCAAAGAAUAAAGGUUAGAGAAGACCACAAGGGUCAUCAAGUCUAACCCCCCUGCCAAGAUGCAAGCUUUGUUCUGUCUAAAUCCUACAGAGGAAUAUGAUCCGCAACAAUGUAACUCUCCUUUUGAUUCUCUUUGGGAGUUCAGAUAUCUACAGUUGUAUAUACUCUGAAGAUCCUCAAUAAUUGCACUGCAGUAUGAGCAAGAGAGAGAACAAGUGGCACACCCAAUGUGAGCUAGCAGGAAUAACGGUAGAUUUCAUGGUCGUGACAUCACCACCAGAACAUAUAUAGCUUUGGCACAAGGCAGGAAUCUUUUGUCUCUCUGGGUCCUCACCCC